UACGUAGGGUGCAAGCGUUGUCCGGAAUUAUUGGGCGUGAAGAGCUCGUAGGCGGUCUGUCGCGUCGGCUGUGAAAUCCCGAGGCUCAACCCCGGGCUUGCAGUGGAUACGGGCAGACUAGAGUUCGGUAGGGGAGACUGGAAUUCCUGGUGUAGCGGUGAAAUGCGCAGAUAUCAGGAGGAACACCGGUGGCGAAGGCGGGUCUCUGGGCCGAUACUGACGCUGAGGAGCGAAAGCGUGGGGAGCGAACAGG
rnacentral:rRNA from 1 species